rnacentral:rRNA from 1 species
UACGUAGGGUGCAGGCGUUAAUCGGAAUUACUGGGCGUAAAGCGUGCGCAGGCGGUCUAUUAAGACAGGUGUGAAAUCCCCGGGCUUAACCUGGGAACUGCGCUUGUAACUGAUAGGCUUGAGUGUGGCAGAGGGGGGUGGAAUUCCAGGUGUAGCAGUGAAAUGCGUAGAUAUCUGGAGGAACACCGAUGGCGAAGGACAGCCCCCUGGGCUAACACUGACGCUCAUGCACGAAAGCGUGGGGAGCAAACAGG